rnacentral:rRNA from 1 species
AGCUCCAAUAGCGUAUAUUAAAGUUGUUGUGGUUAAAAAGCUCGUAGUUGGAUCUCAACAGCCUUGAAGCGGUUAACUUUGUAGUUUUACUGCUUUGUAGGCUGUGCUUUUGCUGGAGGUUUAGGGGUGCUCUUGAUCGAGUGUCUCUGGAUGCCAGCAGGUUUACUUUGAAAAAAUUAGAGUGCUCAAAGCAGGCUAAAAUGCCUGAAUAUUCGUGCAUGGAAUAAUAGAAAAAGAAAUUGGACCCAAUUUGGUUGGUUUUGGGACUCGACAUAAUGAUAAAUAGGGACAGUCGGGGGCAUUUGUAUUCAAACGACAGAGGUGAAAUUCUUGGACCGUUUGAAGACAAACUACUGCGAAAGCAUUUGCCAAGAAUGUUUUCA